UCUGUGCGUCUGUGGAACUCAGUUCCACACU
rnacentral:sRNA from 1 species